GCUGAGGGGAAUGUUGUCUGGCUCGAAGCCACUGCAACACAGAACAGUACCUCAAUUCUUGCCUUGUCGUCAUGAAUGGAUUCGGACAAGGCUUCAUUCCCCUCAAC
rnacentral:pre_miRNA from 1 species